UAAAAAUAUAGACAACACUAUUCCACAUUUACAUAACAUUUUUGAUUAUACAAUAAAUAAAAAUAAUUUCACUUGGGUAUUGUGGGAUGAUUUAAUUACAACUAAUAGCAGCUUAUUACCCGAUGUUAAAAAACGUUUUUUUUAUUCUUUUGAAAAGUAUGUGAAUAAUAAAAAUGAUAUAAUGAUGAUGCCAAUGAUGGGUAGUGGUGGAUCUGGAGGUGGAUUUGGUGGUGGAUCUUGUGCAAAUAACGAUACCUCCUAUGUCUCAAAAUAUGCCAGCACACAUACAACUGAAACCAUAAAUCAAGAUUCAAAUUUUGUUAAAAGCAGCUUACUUAGUACAGCACAAUUUAGUAAAGCUUACCAAAAAUAUACAAUCAAUUAUAACAACUUAUUCAGCUCAACAAACACGAAUAGUAAUAAAGGGACAAUGAAUUCAUAUCAAGCACGUACUUCUAACUUUAUGUCGUCCCAGUUAAGUACUACUUCAGAUGAAGUGGCCAGAUUAAAUAAUGGUUAUAAUAUGUAUAGUAAUGAUAUAUCUCAAAAUAAUGAAUAUUCAAUGGGUUAUAAUUAUAAUGAUACUAGUGGGACUAGUAUGGGUGGUAGUACGAUGUCUAAUUUGUAUAGUUACCAAAUGGGUGAUAGCAAAAACGAUAUGUUUGAUGGUUACCAAAAUUUUGCGAACGAUUCAAAAUUUACUGACCUUAUUUGGUUUGGUAUAAAUAACAAAUAUAAUGAUGGUCGAACAAAUAAACCUGAUAUUUCUGUUGACAUGGAUGAUUACAACAAGUAUAGCACAUGCUAUCAAGAUCGUUAUGAAAAUGAUCAUAACACACAUGAAAUGAUAAAAGAGACUAGUGCCAACCGACUGCAAUAUCAAAAUGACCCACUUGGACCACAGAGCUCGUAUAUUACCAACAGUAAUGAUAAAAACAUAAACCAAAUCGAGGGCGUAAAAAACCUUUCUUUAAACAAUAUCUAUGGAAAAGAAAAAAAUAAAAUAACAAAUAUGUCGGACGACGAUAAAAUGAAAGAAAAAGAGGAAAAAUAUUUUCCCAAUAAAUUUGAUAAUAAUAUAUACAUAGAAAAUGUUGAAUCCUUACGAAAAAAAUAUAUGAUUAACAUUUUGAUAUAUAAUAAAAAAAAUAUAUUAUUAUUUGGCAGUAAAUAUAGUGGAAAAAC
rnacentral:lncRNA from 1 species